UGAGGCGCCUGGUCCUGGGGACCUCUUUCCACUCUUUACUCUCAAGAUAGGAGGAUGGGACUGGGGGAUUCUUUUUGGUUUUCUGGUUUUGUUUUACUCUGGCUUGGUCGGUUUUGUAUUUUUCUAUUUUUCCUUUUUUUCCCCUUUUUUCUUUUUUGAUUUUUCUUUCCUGUUAUUCUCCCAGCCAAAAGCUACCUUCGACCCUUUUGAUUUGAUGUAGCAAAGAGUGUGUGUCCAGAUUAUCUGAAAUUGACACUGAAGAAGGCCUCUCAGCCUCCCAACCUCCCGGCCUCCCAAGAGCUGGCUGGGUGUGGAAAAAACUGAAAUCGUCCUGGCUGGCUGACUUUGAACUCUGACUUCAUCUCCUCUCAGCUGGUCUUCAACAUCCUUUUGGUUCCUGAGCGUCAGCUCUGCCCUGAUGCACCUGUUCCUGAGCCCCCUUCCCGGGGAACCCUCGCCAGGGAUUCUCUCCUUACCCCUCCAAUUCAGAUUCCCACACCAGCUACACAGAUGGUCAGGCAGUGUCCCAGGAUCCGGAGAUGGUCAGCCGGGCAGGACCCGGGUCUCUCAGACCUGGUGGCUUUUCGCAGCGGCCGCAGAAUGAGGACAGCGGACGGAUGAGGACCUUGACUUUAUCAGGGCACAGAGCAAAAGGAGACAGGAGACUGACAGGACAGAAAAGAGCUUUUGCUUUUUCUACAUUUUGUUUUUGUUUUGUUUUUUUCCUGAUAGUCCCACAAAGCUGAAGGUCGGUGGGUCGGGUGAAGCGGGUUUAUCUUGCUACUUGGCCUGUCUCAGGUGGCAGUGCCUUCCCUCCGAGGCCACUCUCUGCUGCUACUGCUCGGCCCAGGCCAGGGUUCAGGCCAGAGCGCGGGCGCCGGGAAGUUGCUGGGCCGGACCUCGCGGGGCUCUGAGGAGAUGGAGCUCGUCCUGCCUCCACUGUUCCUUCUUCUUCCCUCUGGGUCCUUCUUUUCCGGA